rnacentral:rRNA from 1 species
GGCACCUACGGGAGGCAGCAGUGGGGGAUAUUGCACAAUGGGCGAAAGCCUGAUGCAGCGACGCCGCGUGAGGGAAGACGGUCUUCGGAUUGUAAACCUCUGUCUUUGGGGAAGAAUAGAGACGGUACCCAAAGAGGAAGCUCCGGCUAACCACGUGCCAGCAGCCGCGGUAAUACGUAGGGAGCGAGCGUUGUCCGGAAUUACUGGGUGUAAAGGGAGCGUAGGCGGGCUUGUAAGUUGGAUGUCUAAUCCACCGGCUCCACCGGUUAU